rnacentral:lncRNA from 1 species
AAAGAGAGAGAAAAAAAAAGUACAGAAAGAACAGCAUUAAAAUCAGUAUAUGUUUUCAGCUAUAGUGGUUCAAACUCCUGAAGCAAUUUUGAGUCUGCUCACAUAGAAAUUUAUAUUAACAACAUACAGUGGAGGUCGAGCAUUCCAACUAAUGGUGUUUAUAUGCCAGACACGUUUCUCUGUGUAGCUAUAAAAAAACUUGAAUCAGAGCCAAGAGGAAAGAGGGGAGACCAUAAGGAAAGAUUGUGACGACCCUGACACACGCUGAAGUGCUUGUUUGUCACUAAAACCUGCUCGGCUCACAGACUCAACUCAGCAGCUGCUCUUGAGGUUUAUCGACCGACUUGUACACUGUCGACAAAAGUUGGCUAGGCUGUGGCACUCGAAAACAACUUGCAUUAUCGGCUGAACACGAGAGCCGUCUCUGAUAUGGACAUCAGUAAUUCAGGCCAGCAGACCUAGUGCAGUUGCCAAGAGGAGAGGCUUCGUUGAUGGUUCAAGGCACAACGCCAUCUCAUGAAGUCAAUUAUAGGUUUUGUCAACAUCAGAGGGUGAGUCAACAUUCCAAAUGCUCUUCUUGCAUAGCUAAUCAAAAACAUUGCCAGCCUUUAAGCACCUAGACAUAAAUUGACAACUUCAACAGCCUAUUAUUAACAUUCACUCUAAUUUUGAGCGAUCACAGAAUAUUUACACAAUGUAAUGCUGGUAGCAAAAGUUACUGUAGGAAUAAGUUGCUCCUAAGCUUCAUUGGUGCAUCAUCAUACAUUGUGUGCAUGUUUAAGAGACUAGCGCUGCAUGGAUGUCAUUUUUCUAAUAGUAUGCAAGCAGGUUUGCAUGCUUUUGCCGCACAUGUGCUCAUUGCUCAGGAAAUGCAUUAGAUGUCUGUCCUAAGGAAUGUCCUGUAUAUUUAUCGGCUAGCUUGAUAUGUCCUUGCAUUCGACAUUGUUACAUAACACAUUGCUGCUAAAUUCUGUCACCCGUGGUACCAUCUGGUUGGAAUGAAGUACAACCACGCUUAAGGUUCGAUUAUUCAAGUCUGAUGAAAUGUUGAUGCAUAAGUACUUGCUAAAUGUGCAAUGGGCACAGCCUUUGUUUGUUUAAACGUUCAUUGUUGCCAGUGGUGAACAUAAUGUGAAUGUGUGCGUGCUUUGGUUUAAGCUGUGUGUGUUUAAUUCCCAUCCAAAAGCAUACAGUUCCACCAGCUACAUACAGGUCUUGAUGUUCAUUGCUAAACAAUGGACUAAUUUAAAACAGAAAACCAAGUUUCACGUAGGAAAAGUGACCUAGCUAUACUUUCAGGAAGUGUUUCAAGAAGCCAGUACUGCAUGAAUGUAUUCCAACGAAUACCAGAUCCAUGUUUACACAUGUUUACAGUGAAAAUGAGAUGAUGCACAUAAAGAAGAGGUGGUACAACCAAGUGCUGUUUGCGUGACCUCUUUUUUCUCUGUACUGUCUGAACCAACUAGCCCAUCUGAACUGCUGUAAACUAUCAUCUGAAUUACUGUAACUACGAAGUACCAUGCAAUUAAUCAAUUUACAACAUGAAAUACACUAACGUAAUACCAAGCGGUUUUGCAUUUUUAUUUUUUACAGCUAGCUACAAAGACUAUUUUUCUAGAGUGCCCAUGUUAUCAGUCUGCUGAACGCUCUGUGUACCUUCAAAAAU